GUUGAAAAAAAAAAGGGGGGGGGGGUGAGAAAUAAAAGAACGUAAGCAUUUAUUUGCAAGCUAAAAAAAUAAUAAAUUACAAAUCACCUUGUUCUUGUAUAUCAAAUAGAAGUUUGUCUAAAAAAAUGUUUGUCAGGAACUCUCGAGUAUUUUGUGCUAGUAGCUAAUCAUUGAAUUAUAUAUGUAUUAUAUAUAUAUAGCGUUUGAUUUUUUAGAUUGCGGUCAAGUGGCGUCUAUCAGCACCAUGGAUGUAAAAAUGAAUAACAAAGUAAUUCACUAAGACACUUUUUUUUUAAUGUGGUCAUUUACACUUGAUCCCCUUGGACUUCAAUUCUUAGGCAUAGAGACACACUCCUUUAUGAAAACAUUGUUUUUAUGCUGCUGUCAAAGCACUGACUUUAGGUACAUGUCCUAAAUGUUAGAUUUAGAUCUACACGAUGUUAAUAUAUAGUUAACUUUUUUUUGUCAUAACAUGCUUUAAAUACUCUGAAUGUUUUAAGAACAAAAGUAUUUAUAUAUUUCAAGUGUUAGACUUAGCGUCAUGUUUGUAUGAAAGUAAUUUGAAGUUGAAUUUUUUAUUUCAUUAGUUUUUUAUAGUAUAAAUAUAAUUUUGAGCAUUUCAUGCCUGAGAAUGUAAAAUCCAAGGAAAUAGACCAGGCACCAGAGAAAAUAGACAUUUUAAACAUAAAGCUUCUCCAAAUAAAAUAUUUAUCCAAGGUAAAAUAUACACUAGACAACUAAAUACAAUAGACAACUAAAUGAAACCUCUAAGCUAAAGAAGAGACAGGAGUUGCUCAUAUGACAUAAAACACUUGUAUCACGAUUGGACUAGAGAGACAUUGUGACAAUAAAAGUACAUGUCAAGGAGCUAGAGCACUGGGUAUAGGAAGAGAUUCCACCAAAAGUAAAACAUAAGGAAAACAAAAGUGUGAUAUCAAAAAAUUGAAAAGUGCAUAAAAGUGGUUUUAAAAAGAAUUACCAUAAAAAAUAAAUAUCAAAAUAUUGCUCAAACUUAUUAACAGAUAAGAUAGAGACAUAAUCUAUCCUGGUAAAAAAUGUAUGGUUUAAAAUGUCUUAUUAUUCAUUUAUAAUCUCUCAGUAUGUAAACAUUGAUAAAUAACAAAUGUAUGUAGAAGAACACAAUAUACAAUUCAAAUCACCUUGAUAAAAGAGAAAAUAUUUGUAGGAUAAAAUUAAACAUUUUUUGUUUCAAACAGUUAGGUACUUUAAAAUAGAACUUCCUGUUGAAUGAGAAGAUAUCAAGACACAGCACCAGUUACAAAGAAAAUAUAACAAAAAAUAAAUUAAAAAAAUGACCAAGUCAGCACUAAGACAAUCUAAAGCUUGAGUAAGAAAAUGGACAGCGCCAGUAGAAGCUUGCUUGAAAAUUCUGACAAGUCAACACCAGUAAGAGAAAGAGAUGAACAAGCUUAUUUCUAUCCUAAAUAUAUUUGACCUAUUAAGAAGGUCAUAAUUUAAUUUUGCCAUUUGUAUUUCUACUUGUAUAAAACAAUGUUUUGCUCCACAUAGAAGAAAAUAUUUCUAGACUGCAAAACAAUUCAGGUCAAGUGUGUAUUAAAGACAAAAUAAAAUGGCUAGAAAGAAGAAAUAAAAUUAUGUUUUCAAUUGCUCCACAUUCUGUUCACUCUAACUGGCUAAAAAAAAACCCAACUAGAAACUAUGUUCCAUUCCUACUUCUUACUACCAUCACCUCAUGUUGCACUAAAAUACUUUCAAAUUCUUCACAUUAUAUUGAAAUAGGAUUGCAUCAAAAAACAUAUCUGGUUUUCUUGACUUCAUUAAAAAUAUGGAGUCAAGAAAAAGAGGUUUCACUAUGUUGAUUGAAUGUCUUGUAUAUGUGGUAAAUGAAAAUUGUCAUAUGAUCACAUUAAAUAAGUUCAUUUAUAUUUUGUUAUUUGCCUCUCUUUAUGAAGAAUGCAGGCACUUAAAAAAAAAAGCUGUCAAAAAUAUCAGUAAUUUUCAGAUACAAAAUACUUUGAAGCUAUUCACUACUCAGCAUAUAGUGGACUCACUAACUUGUAGCUUCCAAGUAUUAGUUCAAAUAUUUCCUAUCCAAUACUUGAUAGAGACUGUUAAAUGAAAAAUUACUUCAACAUCAAAAGAAGCUAUUACACAACUUCCACUAUGAAAGGGGCAUUCCAGGGCUCCCCACCCAAUUGCAUCAAAUUUGAAUGUGCAAGCUGGACUCCCAGCCCUCCUAUAAACUUCACACUAGUGGGACUGGGGGGGGGGGGG